rnacentral:lncRNA from 1 species
GUAGAACUUCUUGCUUUUUCUGACUUCAUUGCUGGAGCACCCGCAUCUACAGAUGCUACUUGUCUUGAUGAUUCACCUGAUGAUUUCAAACAUGAAGCAUCAAUAACAUUGAAAGUCAAAGAACCAACAGUAGCCUGAUCUACAAAGGUAGCAUUAUUUGGAUGUUUAUCUUUCCAGGGAAAACCACCAUUCUUACUACUAUCGCUGCAGUUUGAGGAUCGUCUUUAAUGGCAAUACCUGGUGAUUUCAAACAUGAAGCAUCAAUAACAUUGAAAGUCAAAGAACCAACAGUAGCCUGAUCUACAAAGGUGGCAUUAUUUGGAUGUUUAUCUUUCCAGGGAAAACCACCAUUCUUGCUACUAUCGCUGCAGUUUGAGGUUUCGUCUUUAAUGGCAAUACCACCAAUAUCAGCUGCAAGAUUCUUUUCCUCCACACCAUUUUGAUCAGUCGGUAACCCAACCUAAACCAGAAACCAUAUAUUUAACUAUUCUUACAAAAAAAUGAUAAUAUCCGGCACUCAAGUUUAUAUCGGGAGUAAAAAAGAACAACACAUCUUAUUCUUGAUACAUUACGUCAAUACACCAAAUGAAAAGGUGUACUUUAAGGUCA